UAUAUUUUAGUGUAUUGAUGCACAAUGAAUUUUGAUUUCAUUAGAUUUGGUUUGAUUCCAAUAAUUAUAA
rnacentral:tRNA from 1 species